rnacentral:misc_RNA from 1 species
AAAGAUAUAAUUUCCACAUAAUAGCUGUAUGUGUCAGCAAUAACAAACAUAGUCAUUAACCAUAAAAGUACUUGUUCACACAUUAAAAAAACUACAAACUAAUAGGCUGUCUGGCAGAGUUUGCAGCAUUUAUUCUAGACAAACACAGAAAACACAGUUGAAAGUCACUCAGAAUGGUCCUGCUCCAUCUGAUUCAAAUGAAAAGUACCCUCCAGAUUCUUGUGCACUUCCACCUUAAACUUCUCUUCUUUGCUUCCCCGUUUCACCUUGAGAAGCAAAUCAAACUUUGCAUGGUCUUCAAUCACCUCGUUUGGCCCCGAGGUCCGAGGCCGUAAAGGUGGGGCUGGCAUCUCCGACGUGGUUGAACUCCUGCAGCUCCUUGAAGUUAGCCCAGGGUUUCACCCACACCUUAGCCUCGUACAGCUUCUUCUUCCCGCCGUCUAUCGCCUCGACGGUCAGGUGAUGCAUAGUCCCCGACACGACCUGCGUCUUCGCCUUCACCACGCGAGCGAACUCAAGGAGCGCAUUCUGUUUCUUGUUGUGUUCGUCGACGGCGAAGCGAGCGAGCUCGUCGAUCUCGAGACUGUUCUCAGUGCCAGCAGGGGAAUCGCGGACGCCGCCGAGGGUGGCCAUGACGAUGUCGCUUUCGUCGCCGGCGAGGUGGAAGGAAGAGGAGAUUGGGACGAGGGAGAGGAGA